ACCACAUUUUGGUCAAAUCUCUCAAAGCAUCAGGCAGGCAAAAAUGAUAGCUUUGCUUCAGCUUGUUUUCUUUUCAGCAGCUUUAGGAGGUAAAUUCCUCAUACCAGUUAUCAAAGGUUGGUUCAUUCUGGGUGUUGUUAACAUGCAGCAGAUUACUUAAAAUGCCUUUCUUUCCAGGUGUCCAAUCAGAGGUCCAGCUGGUGGAGUCUACAGGAGAUGUGAAAAGGCCUGGGAGUUCCUCCGCCUCUCCUGUCGAGCCUCUGGGUUUAACUUUGGGGGCUAUGGCAUGCACUGGGUGAGACAGGUUCCAGGGAAGGGCCUGGAAUGGGUGGCCUACAUAAGCCACAAUUCAGGUGCAAUGUACUAUCUGGAUAAAGUGAAGGGAAGAUUCACCAUCUCCAGGGACAAUUCCAACAGCCUCCUCUAUCUGCAAAUGAACAGCCUUAAAUCGGAAGACACGGCUGUGUAUUACUGUG